rnacentral:misc_RNA from 1 species
AUUAGAGCUGAAGAUUUGAUCAAGA